CUAUUCUGCGGAAAUGCUCGCCGGCUCAGAGUUGGCAUGUUUUGCUUGCUGGGCUGGCUCUCCACCACUUGAACCACACCUCCAGGUCUGCUUUUUGCAGGUUGGAAUGUAAAUGGGCACAAAGGGCCACAGCGAAAGCUGAUGAGAAGAGCUGGCCUGCUGGUGGUUUUACUGCAGAAUCAGGCCAACUCAAGUCCACAUGACUUCUCCUGCCCAUCAGCUCCUCCUCUGUUCUCCCUUCCCUUGGACUCCUGGAGUAGCUAGCCAUCAGCAGGCUUUAGAUCUCAGAGCCGGAUACCAGCUGAGUACCUCUUUGCGGAUGGCAUCGCUGGGCAUCGGCUUUACCUUCUUAUCUGGGUUGCAAACUCAGGUGCUCUGCACUCUGCAGAACUCCCUUCCAACAAGCAGUAUGUUUUUGGAAAACAAACCACAUU